ensembl:lncRNA
AAUGAAUUUGGGGAAAAGAGCAGAGCAGGCUAACAGCCAGGCUAAGAUUAAUCCUGGAGUCUUAUGUGUUAAAUCAGCUGCCGCUCUGAUCCGAAAUAAACGUGUUAAACAGUUGUUCCGUUGUCUUCUGAAUGAUUUCUGCUUUAUUGUUAUUAACAUGCAUUACUAUUGCUGUGACGAGUUUGAUUUAAAACCUACUAUUGCAGUUUAGAUGGUUUGAAAUGGUUGAUGAAUUUGCAACGGUGAUUUCAAUGAAGUCAGUGAUGAGGGCAAUAUAUAAAGUCCCAUUCACCUGUGUUUCUCCCUGCACCAUGGAAUGCCCAUUUCUGAAUGACGUUUUGGAUGAAGAAGCGAUGAAAUUGAGACGUGCUUUCAGGUGUGAGAGGGUGUUUUCGGUACAGAUCAGACCCUUCCCGACGAUUACCUGCAUGAGAGGUAUCGAUUUACUGGAGAUGGAAUCCGUUAUCUGUGCAGACUACUGGGUCCCAAAAUUCAGCACCGCACAGCGCAAAGCCAUGCUCUCACCAUCCUACAGAUGGUCUGCGUGGCACUGUGUUUUUUUGCAAGCGGCAUGUUUUUAUAUGACAUGGGAGAUGCCGAAAUUCUAAAUAAAAGCAUUGUUUGCCGUUGUGUCAGAAUUGUGUGUUUGGCACUGAAGUCCUAGGCACACAUUUUUAUUACCUUCCCUGGCCACAGAAGAAUGUGCUUCAUCAAAGAGGAUUUCUACAAGAUUACAGGUAACAUGAAUUACAGAUUACAAAAACGUGUUACAUUACAACAGUCACAGGAUAUAUUCAGACUAUUUUGUGUUACAGCUUUCCCUAAUGUCAUUGGUGCGCUGGACUGCACACAGAUCCGCAUUAAAUGCCCCUCAGGGGCCCACGAGGGAGAUUAUGUCAACAGAAAAUCCUUCCACAGUAUCAAUGUUCAGAUGAUCUGUGAUGCUGCCUGCAUCACUACCAAUGUGCAGGCAAAGUGGCCUGGGUCCGUCCAUGACUCCUGAGUUUUUAGGUCCAAUACCAUUUCCCAGCGACUCUCACAAGUUAGGCCACACACAUUUGACUGAUAAACACAAUUGUGUCAAAAGUUUUACUUAUGUGUAGUUGUAAUGAUUACAUUUUGUAUUCUAAGGUGAAUUCUCUGGCGUUCUGCUGGGAGACAAGGGUUAUGCCUGUGAGACUUACCUUCUCACUCCCCUUGCCGACCCUCAGACAGCAGCACAUCAAGGAUACAAUCGUGCCCAUGCAAGAACAAGGGCCAGAAUUGAGAUGGCAUUUGGCCUUCUCAAGUCACGAUUUCAGUGUCUCCACCACCUGAGGUCACCCCAGACAGGGCCUGUGACAUUACUGAAGCCUGCACGGUCCUACAUAAUAUUGCCUGUCUGAGGAAGGAAAGGGGUCACCGGACAUUGAGUGGGACCAAGCGUGCCGCACAAGCCCUGAAAAGUGAAGCCAAAACAUCUCGAUCGCCCCCUGGAUGUGCCAAGCCAUAUGCUUUUAAUAAAUAAUACUCACUGGAUCAUCGUCUGGUGGCAGGAGAGUGACUGUGUCGCCGGACACUAGAAGACACAACAAGGUCAGACAGUCCACAUAUGUCCAUAAAUGGUUGAUUGUGUUUGAUAUGCAGUACUGGAAAAUGUACCUUGUAUAAAGAGGGUAGUUUCUGCAGGUGGAACAGAGCCUGUAGCUGUCCCACCCUGAAUCCCUUCCGUCACAGGCCUUUCUUGGUUUAAAUCAAAGGCCAUUUCCUCAUUUGGGGUGAAGUCUGGAGCUGGUGCCUCCCAGUGCCAGACAAAUGAGUCUUCUUCUUAACUGCUAAAAUCCAUUUAGAUAAAGUAUGUGAGCAGGCAUCUUGUAAGUAAUUUCUACAUACCAUUUGCACACUGUUAAGAAUUAAGGCACUUACCAACCUGCAAAAUGUUUUUAUAUUUGAUCUUGACUUGUUGCCAGGUUCUUUUUUGCCCAGUCACAUUUGUUCUGUAUGAACAUUAAUUGUAGGUAGAUGUUUAGAAUUAGACUUCUAGAGAUUUGUGCACAUGGUUGUAAAACAUAUUCUCGCAUUGUAAAUAUGGGUUUGAAAUUAAGCCUAGUCCUUAAUUUGCAGAGGAACAUUAACUUUGCUAGUCAGUAGAUAUUGUUAAAUCCUUACGCAUUCAGUCGGUCCGCUAUUGUCUGCCAGGCCUUUUCUCUCUGUUUAAUAAUAUGCAGUAUUUCCUUUUCUGCAUAUUAUAUGCUUUACCUCCUCAUAACUUACCAUAAUUAGUUGCUGCUCAGUGGGUGAACACCAUACUAAUACUUUGUUUGACCCCCAACAAGGUGCUGAAAGCAUUCUUUAGAAAUGUUGGCCCAUAUUGAUAGGAUAGCAUCUUGCAGUUGAUGGAGAUUUGUGGAAUGCACAUACAGGGCACAAAGCUCCCGUUCUACCACAUCCCAUAGAUGCUCUAUUGGGUUGAGAUCUGGUGACUGUGGGGGCCAUUUCAGUACAGUGAACUCAUUGUCAUGUUCAAGAAACCAAUUUGAAAUGAUUUGAGCUUUGUGACAUGGUGCAUUAUCCUGCUGUAAGUAGCCAUCAGAGGAUGGGUACAUGGUGGUCAUAAAGGGAUGGACAUGGUCAGAAACAAUGCUCAGGUAGGCCGUCGCAUUUAAAUGAAGCCCAAUUGGCACUAAGGGGCCUAAAGUGUGCCAAGAAAACAUCCCCCACACCAUUCUUCUCUGACCUCUAGCAUCAACCAGACAUUUUCACCCAAAGGACUGCCGCAUACUGGAUGUUUUUCCCUUUUCACACCAUUCUUUGUAAACCCUAGAAAUGGGUGUGCGUGAAAAUCCCAGUAACUGAGCAGAUUAUGAAAUACUCAGACCGGCCCGUCUGGCACCAACAACCAUGCCACGCUCAGAAUUGCUUAAAUCACCUUUCUUUCCCAUUCUGACAUUCAGUUUGGAGUUCAGGAGAUUGUUUUGACCAGGACCACACCCCUAAAUGCAUUGAAGCAACUGCCAUGUGAUUAGUUGAUUAGAUAAUUGCAUUAAUGAGAAAUUGAACAGGUGUUCCUAAUAAUCCUUAAGGUAAGUGUAUUUCAUAUCCAUUGAGUUGCAUUGUGGCCAAUGGGGUGGGCGGAGUAAAACACCAGCAACAAUUGCAAAUACACAGUACCC